AUGCCUUAAACUUAUGAGUAAGGAAAAUAACAAGUCGGGGUACCACCCAAAUCCUCACUGCUAAUGUUAGAUGAAUUUGUGAGUGGAUACGGGCUGCCCCUAAGGUGAUCCACCUACUUGGUAGGAUGCCCGGGAGUCAUGAUCUGCCCA
rfam:Ailuropoda melanoleuca scaffold2655_3, whole genome shotgun sequence.